rnacentral:rRNA from 1 species
AUUGAACGCUGGCGGCAGGCCUAACACAUGCAAGUCGAGCGGAUGAAGGGAGCUUGCUCCUGGAUUCAGCGGCGGACGGGUGAGUAAUGCCCAGGAAUCUGCCUGGUAGUGGGGGAUAACGUCCGGAAACGGGCGCUAAUACCGCAUACGUCCUGAGGGAGAAAGUGGGGGAUCUUCGGACCUCACGCUAUCAGAUGAGCCUAGGUCGGAUUAGCUAGUUGGUGGGGUAAAGGCCUACCAAGGCGACGAUCCGUAACUGGUCUGAGAGGAUGAUCAGUCACACUGGAACUGAGACACGGUCCAGACUCCUACGGGAGGCAGCAGUCGGGAAUAUUGGACGAUGGGCGAAAGCCUGAUACAGCCAUGCCGCGUGUGUGAAGAAGGUCUUCGGAUUGUAAAGCACUUUAAGUUGGGAGGAAGGGCAGUAAGUUAAUACCUUGCUGUUUUGACGUUACCAACAGAAUAAGCACCGGCUAACUUCGUG